CAUAUUAUUAAAUUCAGAUUUGAUUAUUACAAAUCUAUUUGUCUAGAUAUUAUUGUUGUCUCUAGUUGAAUAUUGAUGUGAUUAUGUGAAUAGUUGUAUGUGAUUAUACUUGUUUUAUGGAUUAAUAUGGAUUUUACAGAUUUUGCGUCCUCCUUCUUUCUCUGAUUCUGAGGAUGGAAUCCCUAUAAGGGGGGUAGAUUGUAAUGACCCGGAUUUUUAAAAAUAUUUUUUAAUAUUAUAAAUGAUUUUCUUAAAAAGAAAGGAAUAAGAUUUAAUAUUUUAUUACAGUUUAAUGAGUUUUCAAGGUUUUAUAUUUAAACCCCGGAUUAUUGAUAAAUAAUUGUAUUUUCAAAACUGAAUUUAUAUAUUGUUUCGAAAAUUCUAGAUGAUUAUUAUGUGAAUAUAUGUGUGAUGUGAGUAAGUGGUAUUGGUGGAUUUGUUGGUUAAUUAAUUAUGGUUAAUUAUGAGUAUUAUAUGAUUAAUAUAUGAAUUUUUGUGAAUUUUAUAUUAUCUGGUUUAUUGCGUUAACUGCUCAUAUGUGUUCGUAUUUGAGAGAUUUCAAGUUCUAUAUGCUCAGGAGAAAAUAUAGUUUAUUUGGAUAUUUUCAUAUCGAUUUAUGGAAUGUUAGAUGAUUUUAUAAUCAAUUUACGGAUUUAAUUGCGUAUAUUUAUAUGUAAUUAUUAAUUAUUUGAUUUCCGUAAAACCGUCCACUCGUAACGGUGUAGCAAAUUUUCUUCCCGGAAGUUUCAACAAAACUCACCUUUAGCCUAAUUUGAAUAUUCCGGACAUUUUUCGUGUUUUGACUUUUUCGAUCCGGAGUACGGUUUCCCCGGAGUCGGUCCGGCGGAGUUUUGCGGGUAUUUUAAUUGUUGAUAAUUAUCCAGUUUGUCUCGAUAUACGUGAAAGCCAGAUAUUUUGAUUAUUAUAUUACUUUUUAUCGAUAUACGUGCAAAUGGGACCCCAGACCAAUGAUUGAUUUAAAAUGCCCCGUUUUGAUGAUUAUCUCGAAAACCGGUACCGAUUGGACCCCGCUUUAUUAAUAUAAAGCUAUUAAAUACGUAUUUUCAUGUCAUAAACGAUCCAAAGGGGUACCAAUUAUUUGUAUAUAUAAAUAGACUUUUCUAUAGCUGAUUUUCACCCGUAAAAUCAUUUCACCAGUUUCUCUGCACGAAUACCGAGAGAAACCGAGCGGUGUUCUUCGUGUUCUUCAUAAUCAAACGAAGAUUUGAAGGCGUUAUUGGAAUCCGAUGGAGGUGUAUGAAUAGUCAAAACGAAGCUCUCGACGCGUAGAUUAUAGUUUAAUCAUCAAAACAAGCGCAGGAUUUGGACGAGACGUGUACGCUCGAAGACGUCAGGAAGUCGAAAUGGUAUUGCAAAGCGAAUAAGGGAUGAAUUGAGUAAGCGAAGCGAUGUGGCGAAUAGAGUAUGGCUAGAGAUGGUCUAGAAAUUAUGAUAUGAAUAGAUUGUGAAAGUGGAAAGAUGAGGUUGAGCUAUGAGACUGGAGUCAGAUUUAAGGCAAGUAUCCUUUACCCUUCUCUUGGAUAUCUUGCGAAUAUUCUGAUCCAUUCUUUUUAUACCUGUUGGAAAUAUUCGUACCUCACUUUUUCAUAUUUGAAAGUGUAUAUAUUUUAUCCAUCCUUUUCUAAUUCUCAAAAAUUCAGAUAAUUCCAGUUUUACAAAUUAAUUCGAAGUUCAGAUUGUCAUUGAAGCAUGUGUUGCUCAGUGAUAGUUAGAGCUUUGAAUGAAUUGGGAUCUUCUUGAUUAUUCAACCCGCCAUUGUCAUGCUGGUUUAGCAGGCUAAAUUCAGUUGCUUAGCCGAUAAUGGAGGAUAUUGAAUAGUUAGGGAUUUCCUGAACUAUGAUUUAUGAAAGGAUGGACUGUGACUUAUGAAAAGUUUAUUAUCAAAGUUUGAUUUGAAAUUAUUCAGUUGUUGAUGAUGAUUAUGAUUAUGUUCUGUUAAUUUACAUUGGUUUCAUGAACUGAAUUAUAGAAUUGGAUUAUUGUUUUUAUAUAAACAUGUGGACCAGAUGAGUGGUCAGACCAAAUGAGUGGUCAUGAUAGGCCAAUGAGUGCCUUGGAUCCAGUGAUAGAGCAUGGCGGGGCCUGCUCGGGGUUAGGUAUGACUGAUCAGCAUCCUAACCUUGGUUUUUAAUUAAAAUGUGAUAGUCCAAUUCAAUAAUUCUCUUGUGAAGGAUUGAAUUCCUCAGGUUUCUAUUGCUGCAAGGUAUUGUGAUUCUUUUAUACAAUACCUGAAUUUGUGAACUCAGGUUGAAUCUUUUUAUAUCUUGAACUCGAGAAUUUCUGCUAUAUCACUUCAGAACUUUCAUUGUUAUUAUUACUUGCUGAGCAUUGUUGCUCACUCUUGCUAUUCUCUUUUAACCAUUUCAGAAAGGAUUAAAGAUGAAUGGCUAGUCUAUGAUUGCGAGUAAAGUUAAGGCUAGGCGAGGAGUCAGAGGUGUUAAGGAUCCAGUGGUCGAGAAGUGUCCAGGAAGAUUGAUAAGGUUGAUGCUAGCUCGAGUUGUGCUAUUGAGAUUCAGAUGUAAGUCAUAGCUGGAAUAGUUGACAGUGAUUCUUCUUAUCGAAGAUGAUCUGAUUUGGUAAGAGAUGUUGUGUAAUAAUAGUGGUUGAUUCUAAUUUCAAUACUGUAACCUGGAAGCGAUCCUGUUGUUUUGGGGGUGAAGAUGUUCUCUUUUAAAUCUUUUAUUUAACGUCUUUCAAAUCUUUUAUUAAAUGUUUUCAAGUUUUAAAUUAUUUGGAUUCAUUAUCUUUUAAAAAAAAAAAAUACAGGAUUUCAAAAGGGUUUAAAGAUGGGUUUUAUGUGGUGACGUCAGAAUCCAGACCCCCGGAUUCUCGGAGCGUCACAGUUGGUAUCAGAGCAACAGGUUAUUAGUAUUUGAAAUUAGAAUAUAGAUCAUUGUUAUAGGUUUUCUAGAGAAGAAUGUGGUGUAACCUCACAUAGAGGUAUGGUCGGACUAUUUAGGAAUAGUCUAGAGAUGUGAGUGAAGCAUAGAGUUUAGUUAGAUGAUCAAGUUAAGUGUGGAUAUCUAAAAAGAUUAGGAUUCUUAAGUUUAGACAUAUGAUUUCUAGUAUGUUGAUUAAUUGAGAUGGUGAAUUGUGGGAAAGGUCAGUAUUAGACCUAUAUAGAAGAGUUUGAUAGUGAAUGAUUGAGUUGAGAAUGGUGAAAAUGCAGAGUUCAGAGUAUUCUGACUAUACUGCAUAUUUGAAACCGGAUUAUCAUAUUGAUUUGAGGAUGAUAUAAAUGCAUGGUUCAUAGUAUAUUGACCAUGUUAGAUAUUUGGAAAAGGUAUAUUGUUUUUGUAAUAUAUGGAAAGUUAGUGUAAGAUAUGAGUUGUAUUGAAUCAGAAGGAGAGAUUUGUAGAUAGAAGUUGAUAGAUGAGAAGUGCAUGAUAGAGAGUAUGUGGAGUUGAGUCCGGUUAUUAGAGGUGAUGUCUGCGAGUAAGUUAGAACGUUAGUCCUCGACAACGAUGUUUUAAGUUAAGCGGGACAAGGCGGGCCCAUAACCCACAGGGCGACAAUUCAGAAAAUCGAAGAUAUGCUACGUGUGGUGCUAUGGACUUCAAAGGCAACUGGGUGAAACAUGAGAACGUGAACUACUUGGGCCAGACUUAUUACGAACGAUAACGUCUACGAUGACAUCUUACGAGGCUAUUACGAGUCAAAUCGAUUGAUUAUCGAGAACGUUGAAAGGAUGACAUAAAUCGAAUAUCGAUUUCGUAAAGUAGAGUGGGAAUUUGAGAAGACUUUGGCAAUACCUCUCUUCAACUAAAGAUUCUUUUGAUUAUAUGUUUUUCAUCAGUGAGUUAUAUGAUAUCAUUUCAAUAAACGAGAUUUUCAAUUUCUCAAAUUCUAAGAUGAUAAUGAUAUUGAUCAUUGGUGUGAGUUAGUAUUGAAUCAGUGUAUGAUAAAGGUGUGUUUAUGAAAAGACAGUGAAAUUCCUUGAUAUUAUUCGAUAUUCUUUGAUAUCCCUUGAUAUUUUUUUCAUAUUUUUUUGAUAUCCCUUAAUAUUCGUUGAUAUUCGUUGAUAUUCUUUGAGACUUUAUGAUAUUUUUUUUGAUAUCUUUUCGAUGUUCCUUAAUAUAUUCCUCGAUAUAACUUAACAUUCCUUGAUGCUCCUUGAGAUUUCUUGGAUUCUUUCCAUCUGAUUGGGAUGAACAACCCUAUGUAUAGGGGACACAAGGUAUACCUGUCUGUGUGAUAGGAGUUGGAUGGGACGCCAUCACUUGUGUGUGUUGUGAUUACAAGAAGGUUAACGACCUUUAGUAGUGUCUAAUAUGGACACGCAACAUUAAGUUCAUUUGAUCGUAUUGAUCUCCCAGUCACUCUUGUAUUCCAAUGUGACCUAUUUUGAAAAUAUCUUGUUCCUCCGAAAUUCCCAAAGAUUGAUUCUUGGGAAAUGAAGUUUGCAAUUGUGAAGGUUUUGAUUCUCCUAUUUCUUUAACUUUGAAGGUAUGCCAAAGUUAAUCAAAGGUGGAUGACGAUGCGAUAUUACGAAGUGUGUACGUUUUAGUUUUCUUCGGGGGAUUCCGGGGACGGAAUCCUUAUAAGGGGGGUAGAAUGUAAUAUCCCAUAUUAUUAAAUUCAGAUUUGAUUAUUACAAAUCUAUUUGUCUAGAUAUUAUUGUUGUCUCUAGUUGAAUAUUGAUGUGAUUAUGUGAAUAGUUGUAUGUGAUUAUACUUGUUUUAUGGAUUAAUAUGGAUUUUACAGAUUUUGCGUCCUCCUUCUUUCUCUGAUUCUGAGGAUGGAAUCCCUAUAAGGGGGGUAGAUUGUAAUGACCCGGAUUUUUAAAAAUAUUUUUUAAUAUUAUAAAUGAUUUUCUUAAAAAGAAAGGAAUAAGAUUUAAUAUUUUAUUACAGUUUAAUGAGUUUUCAAGGUUUUAUAUUUAAACCCCGGAUUAUUGAUAAAUAAUUGUAUUUUCAAAACUGAAUUUAUAUAUUGUUUCGAAAAUUCUAGAUGAUUAUUAUGUGAAUAUAUGUGUGAUGUGAGUAAGUGGUAUUGGUGGAUUUGUUGGUUAAUUAAUUAUGGUUAAUUAUGAGUAUUAUAUGAUUAAUAUAUGAAUUUUUGUGAAUUUUAUAUUAUCUGGUUUAUUGCGUUAACUGCUCAUAUGUGUUCGUAUUUGAGAGAUUUCAAGUUCUAUAUGCUCAGGAGAAAAUAUAGUUUAUUUGGAUAUUUUCAUAUCGAUUUAUGGAAUGUUAGAUGAUUUUAUAAUCAAUUUACGGAUUUAAUUGCGUAUAUUUAUAUGUAAUUAUUAAUUAUUUGAUUUCCGUAAAACCGUCCACUCGUAACGGUGUAGCAAAUUUUCUUCCCGGAAGUUUCAACAAAACUCACCUUUAGCCUAAUUUGAAUAUUCCGGACAUUUUUCGUGUUUUGACUUUUUCGAUCCGGAGUACGGUUUCCCCGGAGUCGGUCCGGCGGAGUUUUGCGGGUAUUUUAAUUGUUGAUAAUUAUCCAGUUUGUCUCGAUAUACGUGAAAGCCAGAUAUUUUGAUUAUUAUAUUACUUUUUAUCGAUAUACGUGCAAAUGGGACCCCAGACCAAUGAUUGAUUUAAAAUGCCCCGUUUUGAUGAUUAUCUCGAAAACCGGUACCGAUUGGACCCCGCUUUAUUAAUAUAAAGCUAUUAAAUACGUAUUUUCAUGUCAUAAACGAUCCAAAGGGGUACCAAUUAUUUGUAUAUAUAAAUAGACUUUUCUAUAGCUGAUUUUCACCCGUAAAAUCAUUUCACCAGUUUCUCUGCACGAAUACCGAGAGAAACCGAGCGGUGUUCUUCGUGUUCUUCAUAAUCAAACGAAGAUUUGAAGGCGUUAUUGGAAUCCGAUGGAGGUGUAUGAAUAGUCAAAACGAAGCUCUCGACGCGUAGAUUAUAGUUUAAUCAUCAAAACAAGCGCAGGAUUUGGACGAGACGUGUACGCUCGAAGACGUCAGGAAGUCGAAAUGGUAUUGCAAAGCGAAUAAGGGAUGAAUUGAGUAAGCGAAGCGAUGUGGCGAAUAGAGUAUGGCUAGAGAUGGUCUAGAAAUUAUGAUAUGAAUAGAUUGUGAAAGUGGAAAGAUGAGGUUGAGCUAUGAGACUGGAGUCAGAUUUAAGGCAAGUAUCCUUUACCCUUCUCUUGGAUAUCUUGCGAAUAUUCUGAUCCAUUCUUUUUAUACCUGUUGGAAAUAUUCGUACCUCACUUUUUCAUAUUUGAAAGUGUAUAUAUUUUAUCCAUCCUUUUCUAAUUCUCAAAAAUUCAGAUAAUUCCAGUUUUACAAAUUAAUUCGAAGUUCAGAUUGUCAUUGAAGCAUGUGUUGCUCAGUGAUAGUUAGAGCUUUGAAUGAAUUGGGAUCUUCUUGAUUAUUCAACCCGCCAUUGUCAUGCUGGUUUAGCAGGCUAAAUUCAGUUGCUUAGCCGAUAAUGGAGGAUAUUGAAUAGUUAGGGAUUUCCUGAACUAUGAUUUAUGAAAGGAUGGACUGUGACUUAUGAAAAGUUUAUUAUCAAAGUUUGAUUUGAAAUUAUUCAGUUGUUGAUGAUGAUUAUGAUUAUGUUCUGUUAAUUUACAUUGGUUUCAUGAACUGAAUUAUAGAAUUGGAUUAUUGUUUUUAUAUAAACAUGUGGACCAGAUGAGUGGUCAGACCAAAUGAGUGGUCAUGAUAGGCCAAUGAGUGCCUUGGAUCCAGUGAUAGAGCAUGGCGGGGCCUGCUCGGGGUUAGGUAUGACUGAUCAGCAUCCUAACCUUGGUUUUUAAUUAAAAUGUGAUAGUCCAAUUCAAUAAUUCUCUUGUGAAGGAUUGAAUUCCUCAGGUUUCUAUUGCUGCAAGGUAUUGUGAUUCUUUUAUACAAUACCUGAAUUUGUGAACUCAGGUUGAAUCUUUUUAUAUCUUGAACUCGAGAAUUUCUGCUAUAUCACUUCAGAACUUUCAUUGUUAUUAUUACUUGCUGAGCAUUGUUGCUCACUCUUGCUAUUCUCUUUUAACCA